UACAUGUGGGGCAAGCGUUGUUCGGAAUUACUGGGCGUAAAGAGCUCGUAGGCGGCUCGUUGCGUCGGCUGUGAAAACCCGCAGCUCAACUGUGGGCUUGCAGCUGAUACGGGCGGGCUGGGAUUCGGUAGGGGAGACUGGAAUUCCUGGUGUAGCGGUGAAAUGCGCAGAUAUCAGGAGGAACACCGGUGGCGAAGGCGGGUCUCUGGGCCGAUAUCGACGCUGAGGAGCGAAAGCGUGGGGAGCGAACAGG
rnacentral:rRNA from 1 species